CCAUUUUGACUUUUGCCUUUUCCAUUCUCAUGUUUUUUUUUUUUCCCUUUGAGCACAAGUUGAACGAUCGCAUUUUCCUUUUUUUUUUUUUUUUUUUUAACGGUCUAUAUAAUUCUCUGUUUGCUUAGAGAGAUAUGAGAGCUUAUCAUGGCAAUUUUACAUUAAGAGGGGCCGGAACACACGAGUCUCUCUCAAUUCAAUCAAGUGCUCUUUAUCAGCUACUACUUUAAUUAUUUUUAAUUAUUAUUAAAAGAUCUAUUAUAUGGAAAUAACAUAGUAUAGAGUACAUAAAUAAGAAUUAAUCCUCUCUUAAAUUUCAGUAAUUAGUGAAAUUAAUGGUUGAAAUGACUUAAACUCGUUAUUUAUCGCUUACCAUAUUUUUUUUUAAUAAAAUUAUAAAGACCAGUCAAAUCAUAUUAGUUUUCCUAUUCAAUUUAUUAUUACUUUUGUUAUUAUUACUCCCUUCAUUUUAUUUUGUUUGCUUUUUAUGUCUCAAAAUAUGUAUAAGGUUUAUAAAUUUAUAUGCUUAAAUAAUUAUUUUUCUCGUAAUAGUUUUUAAUUGUUUAUUAAAUAAAAUUUUUUUAUUAACAUCGUAAUAAAUUAAAAAUAAAAAAUGAUAAAAUAAUUUUUAUUAAUUUAAUUUUUAAUAUGCAUUUUUUAUCAAAUAUAACGUAUCUUAAUUUCCUUGUAGUCUAUACUACACUUGGACUACUACACCAACCACCCAUUUAUCCAUUUUCUCUUUUGUUUUUUUCUUUAAUUGAAAGAUUCAUUUUCUCAUUCAUUGGGUCUCAUCUGUGCAUUUUCAACACAAUAAUUAUCAUCUGUCACCUAUCAUCGAGUUGAUAACAUUAGAAUUCCAUAAUUUUAGAUUUUUAUUAGGUUCAAAAUAUAUCUUAUGUGAGACUCUUAAGGUCAUUUUAUAAUUAUUAUCUUCAGCAAAUUUACUAAAUUUAAACUCAUUCAUCUUUCCUAAUUCAAUUAGUUUUCUUGUCUUCUUUCUUUUUUUAUGAUUAUGAGGUUUUUUCAUAUUUGCAUAGAUUUGAAGAUGAAGCCUCUUUUGUUUGACUAAUUAAUUUCUAGACAAUAGAACAUGACAACCUCCUCUCCCCUAUCGAUCCGACUCUCAAGAUAUAUUCAGAAAAAUUAACUUUUAACUGUUUUAAUAGCGUUUAAACACCAACUGUUUUAAUAAUUUUUCAUAAAAUGCUAAAAGUUAAACGUUACAUAAAUUAUUAUAAAACAUCAUUUUAAUUUUUAAAAGCUAAUUCAGUACAUUACCAAAUAUUAUAAAAAAUUAUCAAAUAUUAUAAAAAAUAACAUUUAAUCAAAACACUAUAAAUUACUUGAAAAUUAUCAAAUACAGACUUUACUUCUUCUACCAAGAACAGUAUUCCCAUUAGCUAUUGAUGCAUAUAUAUUUUCAUUUUGGUUGACGUUUAAAAGAAAAAAAAAAAAUACUAGCAAUUAUUCUCUCUCUUGGCAAUGAUCUACUUGUAAUUUUCGUGAACUGGCCGUCCAACUGGAAACUGCCAACCUAUUUUUUAUAGUCAACCGUCCCAAAUACGACACGUCGGUCUACCUUUCUUUGCCAUUGUUUGACCCACCGCAGUGCUCUGCUUUACUUUAUUACUACCAUUUUCUUUUUAUUUCAAUCAAAUGAUCAUGAUGGAAGAAAAAAGUAAAUAAAUUACAAGUAGGCAUCCAAAUUCAAGAACCCAAGUCCUUAAGAUCAAAGCAAACAUUAAAAAUAAUAAUAAUAAUAAUAAUAAUAAAAUUCCUACUUUGCUUUUCCCCUUUUAACAAAAAUGAAAGAGCAUCAGGAAAUCAAACAAGAGAAAAUUAAUUAAAGGAAAUUGAACCAAACUUCACUCAUUAAUUAAUUAAUCUCCUUUGAGAUUAACAUAAAGUUUAGAGUUCCAAGUUUCAAGUUUCAACUACUAAUUAAUUAGCUUAAUUACUACAACUAUUUUCCCUACCUACUUUCCACCUUCAAAUACAACUAAAAGAACCCACAACUUUUUUUUUUUUUUCUAGAGUUUUGUACUUGUUAUGAAGAUUCUAAGAUGAGAUUGGUUGUCUCUGCAAUUGAAAGACUGUGAUUGUGCUGUCCUUCGUAUGUGACUACAAGCAUUGUUGGAUCAUCCAAUGCUCUCUCUACAU
rnacentral:lncRNA from 1 species